rnacentral:rRNA from 1 species
UACGUAGGGUGCGAGCGUUGUCCGGAAUUAUUGGGCGUAAAGGGCUCGUAGGCGGUCUGUUACGUCGGGAGUGAAAACUCGGGGCUCAACCCCGAGCCUGCUUCCGAUACGGGCAGACUAGAGGUAUGCAGGGGAGAAUGGAAUUCCUGGUGUAGCGGUGAAAUGCGCAGAUAUCAGGAGGAACACCGGUGGCGAAGGCGGGACUCUGGGCCGAUACUGACGCUGAGGAGCGAAAGCGUGGGGAGCGAACAGG